rnacentral:rRNA from 1 species
UACGAAGGGUGCAAGCGUUACUCGGAAUUACUGGGCGUAAAGCGUGCGUAGGUGGUUUGUUAAGUCUGCUGUGAAAGCCCCGGGCUCAACCUGGGAAUGGCAGUGGAUGCUGGCAAGCUAGAGUGCGGUAGAGGGGUGUGGAAUUCCCGGUGUAGCGGUGAAAUGCGUAGAGAUCGGGAGGAACACCGAUGGCGAAGGCAAUCCCCUGGGCCUGCACUGACGCUCAUGCACGAAAGCGUGGGGAGCAAACAGG